rnacentral:rRNA from 1 species
AUUGAACGCUGGCGGCAUGCUUUACCCAUGCAAGUCGAACGGUAACAGGGUGCUUGCACCGCUGACGAGUGGCGAACGGGUGAGUAAUGCGUCGGAACGUGCCGAGUAGUGGGGGAUAACGCAGCGAAAGUUGUGCUAAUACCGCAUACGUACUGAGGUAGAAAGUGGGGGACCUUCGGGCCUCACGCUAUUCGAGCGGCCGACGUCUGAUUAGCUAGUAGGUGAGGUAAAGGCUCACCUAGGCGACGAUCAGUAGCGGGUCUGAGAGGAUGGGCAGCCACGCUGGGACUGGGACACGGCCCAGACACCUACGGGAGGCAGCAGUGGGGAAUUUUGGACAAUGGGCGAAAGCCUGAUCCAGCCAUGCCGCGUGUCUGAAGAAGGCCUUCGGGUUGUAAAAGACUUUUGUCAGGGAGGAAAUCCCUAGUGCUAAUAACACUGGGGGAUGACAGUACCUGAAGAAUAAGCACCGGCUAACUACGUGCCAGCGGCCGCCGUAA